UACAGAGACCUCAAACGUUGUCCGGAUUUAUUGGGCGUAAAGGGUCCGUAGGCGGUAUGACACGUCGGUGGUCAAAUUUCGGGGCUCAACCCCGGAACUGCCAUCGAUACGGUCAAACUAGAGCUCGGGAGAGGUAAGCGGAAUUGCCGGUGUAGUAGUAAAAUGCGUUAAUAUCGGCAAGAACACCAAAUGCGAAGGCAGCUUACUGGAACGAUGCUGACGCUCAGGGACGAAAGCGUGGGGAGCGAAAGGG
rnacentral:rRNA from 1 species